rnacentral:rRNA from 1 species
AUUGAACGCUGGCGGCAGGCCUAACACAUGCAAGUCGAGCGAGCGGCGGCCGGGUGCGUCAUGUCUGGGGCUCUGCCUUAUAGAGGGGGAUAACUACUGGAAACGGUAGCUAAUACCGCAUACCAUCGGAUGUACCCAUAUGGGAUUAGCUAGUAGGUGGGGUAAGGGCUCACAGAGGCGACGAUCUCUAGCUGGUCUGAGAGGAUGACCAGCAACACUGGAACGGAGACACGGUCCAGAGUCCUACGGGAGGCAGCAGGGGGGAAUAUUGAACAAUGGGGGCAAGCCUGACGCAGCAGUGCCGCGUGUGUGAAGAAGGCCUUAGGGUUGUAAAGUACUUUCAGCGGGGAGGCGUGACCCGCAGAAGAAGAACCGGCUAACUCCGUGCCAGCAGCCGCGGUAAUAC